GUAGGGAAUAUUGGGCAAUGGGCGGGAGCCUGACCCAGCCAUGCCGCGUGGAGGAUGAAGGCGCUCAGCGUUGUAAACUUCUUUUAGCUGGGAAGAACGGCAGGCCUGCGGGCUUGUGUGACGGUACCAGCGGAAUAAGCACCGGCUAACUCCGUGCCAGCAGCCGCGGUAAUACGGAGGGUGCAAGCGUUGUCCGGAUUUAUUGGGUUUAAAGGGUGCGUAGGUGGCCUGUUAAGUCUGGUUUGAAAGCUGGUGGCUUAACCAUCAGAUGUGGCUGGAAACUGACAGGCUUGAAUGCGGGAGCGGCUGCCGGAACGGGUCAUGUAGCGGUGAAAUGCAUAGAUAUGACCCAGAACACCGAUUGCGAAGGCAGGCAGCCAGUCCGUGAUUGACACUGAGGCACGAGAGCAUGGGGAGCCAACAGG
rnacentral:rRNA from 1 species